AUUGAACGCUGGCGGCAGGCCUAACACAUGCAAGUCGAGCGGAUGAAGGGAGCUUGCUCCUGGAUUCAGCGGCGGACGGGUGAGUAAUGCCUAGGAAUCUGCCUGGUAGUGGGGGAUAACGUCCGGAAACGGGCGCUAAUACCGCAUACGUCCUGAGGGAGAAAGUGGGGGAUCUUCGGACCUCACGCUAUCAGAUGAGCCUAGGUCGGAUUAGCUAGUUGGUGGGGUAAAGGCCUACCAAGGCGACGAUCCGUAACUGGUCUGAGAGGAUGAUCAGUCACACUGGAACUGAGACACGGCCCAGACUCCUAGGGGAGGCAGCAGUGGGGAAUAUUGGACAAUGGGCGAAAGCCUGAUCCAGCCAUGCCGCGUGUGUGAAGAAGGUCUUCGGAUUGUAAAACACUUUAAGUUGGGAGAAAGGGCAGUAAGUUAAUACCUUGCUGUUUUGACGUUACCAACAGAAUAAGCACCGGCUAACUUCGUG
rnacentral:rRNA from 1 species